rnacentral:sRNA from 1 species
UCUGAUCCUUGGCUUCCCUCUCAACACGACAAGACUCUUCUCCCUCUCUUCCCUUUGUCCGUCUCCAUUCUCAACCUCUUUUCCCUCUCUUUGCCCUUCAAAUUCUUCUGCUCUGCCUCCUCUCACCACCGCAUCGAAUCAAACUGGGGGAACUUCUGUCAGAGCAGGAGGAAGAGGAGGACGAGGGGGAGGAAGAGGGGGAGG